rnacentral:tRNA from 1 species
ACUAAAUUAGUUUAAUUAAGAACAUUAGAUUGUGGUUCUGAUAGUAAGGGUUUUAUUUAGUA